UGGGAAAGCAUCAGGGAUUUAGGGUUUUUAUUGCCGUAGGGUUUCAGAAUGUAUAUUUAGUUGGACAUAAGUAAGUAAAAUUAAGUCGUUCCUGAAGUUGUGUUUCGCCCAUCGGGUUCUUCUAAACGGUUUUGGAAUGCAAUUUGAUUUAGUACAUUGAAGUCGAGAUAUCGUUUCGGUUGCCCCGCGUAAGCAUGGGCGAUUCGAUUGUUGCUUGACAACAUGGAAACCUAUCUUACAGGUUUUUGCCCUGUGUUUGUUUUUGGGAUUUUAAUAAAUGGUGAGGGAUUUUUGUUUGUUUCGA